rnacentral:rRNA from 40 species
GAGUUUGAUCAUGGCUCAGAUUGAACGCUGGCGGCAUGCCUUACACAUGCAAGUCGAACGGCAGCACGGGAGCUUGCUCCUGGUGGCGAGUGGCGAACGGGUGAGUAAUGCAUCGGAACGUAUCCUGGAGUGGGGGAUAACGUAGCGAAAGUUACGCUAAUACCGCAUAUUCUGUGAGCAGGAAAGCGGGGGACCUUCGGGCCUCGCGCUCUUGGAGCGGCCGAUGUCGGAUUAGCUAGUUGGUGAGGUAAAGGCUCACCAAGGCGACGAUCCGUAGCAGGUCUGAGAGGAUGAUCUGCCACACUGGAACUGAGACACGGUCCAGACUCCUACGGGAGGCAGCAGUGGGGAAUUUUGGACAAUGGGGGCAACCCUGAUCCAGCCAUGCCGCGUGAGUGAAGAAGGCCU